AUUGAACGCUGGCGGGAGGCCUAACACAUGCAAGUCGAACGAGUGCCGGACGGGUGAGUAAUGUCUGGGAAACUGCCCGCUGGAGGGGGAUAACUGCUGGAAACGGUAGUCAAUACCGCGUCCCAUCGGAUUCGCCCAGAUGGGAUUAGCUUGUAGGUGAGGUAACGACUCACCUAGGCGACGAUCCCUAGCUGGUCGGAGAGGAUGACCAGCCACACGGGAACUGAAACACGGUCCAGACUCCUACGGGAGGCAGCAGUGGGGAAUAUUGCACAAUGGGAGCAAGCCGGAUACAGCCAUGCCGCGUGUAUGAAGAAGGCCUUCGGGUUGUAAAGUACUUUCAGCAGGGAGGCGUUACCCGCAGAAGAAGCACCGGCUAACUCCGUGCCAGCAGCCGCGGUAAUUC
rnacentral:rRNA from 1 species